GUCUGGUAGUUACAAUGCAGAUUGCAAUCUCUUAGUUUCACCCCCUUUAUUUCAAGCAAUAAGAUGAUUCGCGCACAUAUUUUUUACUCUAAAUUUUUCAGAUUCUUAAGAAUUUGUUUAUUAAAUCUUAUAUUGACCACAUACAAUGUUUAAAUAGGAAGAAAUGCUUAAAAGCUGUUUUUUCGCAGAUGGCGGUAUUUUGGGCAACUGUAUGAGUUGUUAUGAUUUGCUGUUUGAUUAGAAGUAAGCAUAAUUUUAGGAAAUUUUAUGAUGUCAAAAACUUCUUUGAUAGUCAUUACAGGGUUUUACUUAGUUUUAAUUGAUUAGCAUUUGCACCAGAAAGAAAAAUUUGGGUUUUCACACAUUUUGUUAACUUUUACUCGAAUUUCAGGAAACAUGUGCUAUCUGUCAAAAACACGCUUUAAAUAUUAAAAAAUGCAUUUGAAUAAUGACUGUUAAUCUCUCUGCUAAAAGUUUAAAUUGUUUGCAUAUGUGAAUUUAGUAUAUAAAAGUCAUAUUAUGCAAUCAGGCUGAAAUCUUAGAAAAUAUGCACUUAUUCGUCCUUGGCCUUUGAUCUUGAUUUGACGGAAAUUGCACCGUACGAUUUUUUUACGACCGGGCAAAACAGAUAGUACAGAUGUGUAGCUUUCAAAUGAUAUAUAAUUUAGCCGUGUGUUAGGUAGGUGCAUUAAAAAU
rnacentral:lncRNA from 1 species